AGGAGUUCAGUAGGCACGCGAGUCGUUGACGUUGUGCAUUGAACAGUCGAAGGCGUAAUGAAAGUGUGCAAGAAAGUGAAUUGUACAUUUUUUUGUACUGUUUGCUUUCAGCAUGAUCGUCCUUUGUUUUGUUUGGGUGCUGCUUGAAUUUUUUCGGGCCACCUUUCUUAAUUUAAUGAAAGUAAGAAAAAAGUGAACGGUGCUUUUCUUGGGUGCCGUUUGCUUUUCAACAUGAUCGUCCUUUGUUGUUUUGUUUGGGUGUGUUGCUUGAUUUUUGUAACUUGCGCCGCCCUUCUUAAUAAUAUUUUGGACGCGCAGUGUUGUGCCGUUGAACAGUCGCACUGUUUGUCCAUCUCUCACGGGUUGGAGAAACAAUUGUCGAUCAGUCGGUUUCGGAGCGUGCACACUGGUACCCGAAAGAUGGUGAACUAUGCUUGAGCAGAAUGAAGCCAGAGGAAACUCUGGUGGAAGUUCGUAGCGGUGUUGACGUGCAAAUCACUCGUCUGACUUGAGUGUAGGGGCGAAAGACUAAUCGAACCAUCUAGUUGCUGGUUCCUUCCGAAGUUUCCCUCAGGAUAGCUGGCAUUUGUUUGUAACAAUUUUAUCCGGUAGAGCGAAUGAUUAGAGGUGUUGGGAACGCAAUGUUCUCAGCCUAUUCUCAAACUUCGAAUGGGUAAGCAAGGCGUUUUGCUUUGAUUUUACGAUGAAAUCGCCCAAUUAGAAUGCAUAAAUGCCUAGUGGGCCAAUUUUGGUAAGCAGAACUGGCGAUGUGGAAUGAACCAAAAGUCAGGUUAAGGUGCCAGACAUUGGCGCUCAUGAAAUACCAGAAAAGGUGUUGGUCGAUAUAGACAGCAGGACGGUGGCCAUGGAAGUUGGAAUCCGCCAAGGAGUGUGUAACAACUCACCUGCCGAAUCGACUAGCCCUGAAAAUGGAUAGCGUUUGAGCGCCAGGCCCAUACCUGACCGUCUCAAUUACGCACUUUUUUCUUUUUUGAAAAAGGUGUAAUGAACGUUGAGACGGGUAGGAAGGUCGCGACAGUGUUGCUUUGAAGAGUUUUGAGCGUGAGCUCGCUCGGAGCCGCUGUUGGUGCAGAUCUUGGUGGUAGUAGCAAAUAUUCAAGUGAGAACCUUGAAGGCUGAAGUGGAGCAAGGUUCCAUGUGAACAGCAGUUGGACAUGGGUCAGUCGAUCCUAAGAAAACGGCGAAAGCUUGUUCGAAUUUGCGACAUGAAUUGUAAGACUGUGUGUGUUUAUUGUGUGUGCGUGUGCAGUUGUCGUAUGUUUUCGAAAGGGAAUCCGGUUGAUAUUCCGGAACCGAGUAACGGAGACAAAGAGUAGCGCUUUAAUCUCUCUGUGGGGUUGGCGUUCAACUCAAUCGCGCGGUAACGCAAGCGAACUCGGAAAAUGACCGUCGUGAGUUUCGAAAAGAGUUUUCUUUUCUUUUUAAGGGACGCAUUCCCUGGAACCGGGUUGUCCGGAGAUAGGGAUUCUGGUAUCCAUAAAACGCCGACUUUUUCACGGUGUUCGGAGCGCUCUCGUCGGUACGUGAAAAUCCGAGCGACGCCUGGUAAAUCUCGUACUUGGUCGUACUGAUAUCCGCAGCAGGUCUCCAAGGUGAAUAGCCUCUGGCCGAUAGAAUAAUGUAGGUAAGGGAAGUCGGCAAAACGGAUCCGUAACUUCGGAACAAGGAUUGGCUCUAAGGGCUGGGCCGAUCGGGCUGAGGUUUCAAGCGUGCAGUGUAUGCUUGGCUGAGUUGUGUUGAGGACUUGUUCACUUGCCGCCGUUUGUUCGGUUGGUCUAGUGUAUUCGAGUCUGAAGCAGAGCUGGCCGACAGACCGGCACGUGCAGAACCUGAGCUGCGCGGCUGUCCGUUUACGUGUACAGACCGUUUCGGUCGGCAUUCAACAGCCAACUUAGAACUGGCACGGACACAAGGAAUCUGACUGUAUAAUUAAAACAAAGCAUUGCGAUGGCCGAUGAUCGGUGAUGACGCAAUGUGAUUUCUGCCCAGUGCUCUGAAUGUCAAAGUGAAGAAAUUCAAUCAAGCGCGGGUAAACGGCGGGAGUAACUAUGACUCUCUUAAGGUAGCCAAAUGCCUCGUCAUCUAAUUAGUGACGCGUAUGAAUGGAUCAACAAGAUUCCUUCUGUCCCUAUCUACUAUCUAGCGAAACCACAGCCAAGGGAACGGGCUUGGCAAAAUCAGCGGGGAAAGAAGACCCUGUUGAGCUUGACUCUAGUCUGACUCUGUGAAGAGACAUGAAAGGUGUAGCAUAGGUGGGAGAUUGUCAAAUUGCCAUCGUUCGCGCGGUGGUCCGGUGAUCGCCAAUGAAAUACCACUACUUUGAUCGUUUCUUUACUUAUUCGGUAAAGCGAAAAAAUUGUGGCCAAUUUGGCGGUGUUUAUGUCGCUGUUGGUCAUUGUUUUCAUGUUAGAUUGAAGCUUUGUUUACAGCCGUCGCUUUGUGUCGCCAUUUGACGCAUUGUUGUACUGGGUUAUCCCGGUGUGUGGUGUAGUCAGUAUGGAUGAUCGGCGAUAGGUUUGAAGUGAUUCGCUCCGGAAACAGUGUCAGACGGGGAGUUUGACUGGGGCGGUACAUCUGUUAAACGAUAACGCAGGUGUCCUAAGGUAAGCUCAGCGAGGACAGAAACCUCGCUUAGAGUAAACGGGCACAAGCUUACUUGAUUUUGAUUUCCAGUACGAAUAGAAACCGCGAAAGCGUGGCCUAUCGAUCCUUUUGAUUGUGUAGAUUUCAUGCAAGAGGUGUCAGAAAAGUUACCACAGGGAUAACUGGCUUGUGGCAGCCAAGCGUCCAUAGCGACGUUGCUUUUUGAUCCUUCGAUGUCGGCUCUUCCUAUCAUUGCGAAGCAGAAUUCGCCAAGCGUUGGAUUGUUCACCCACCAAUAGGGAACGUGAGCUGGGUUUAGACCGUCGUGAGACAGGUUAGUUUUACCCUACUGAUGACAAGUCGUUGCGAUAGUAAUCCUGCUCAGUACGAGAGGAACCGCGGGAUCAGACAUUUGGUUCAUGCGCUCGGCUGAAAGGCCGGUGGCGCGAAGCUAGCAUCUGCAAGAUUAUGACUGAACGCCUCUAAGUCAGAAUCUUUUCUAGUCAUUGGCAACGAUAAGUUGCGUCCGGACUCGAUGCGAGGAAACGAUUAGGCUUUGCUGUGUUUUGCGCAGCGAAGCCGUCAUCAUACCACGGUAGCAGGCAGUUGGGAUGGUUACGAAAAAGCAAUUUUUUGAAGUCAGUUGAAUUCAAUCAAACUGCUAAC
rnacentral:rRNA from 1 species